GACGAACGCUGGCGGCGUGCUUAACACAUGCAAGUCGAACGGAAAGGCCCUGCUUUUGUGGGGUGCUCGAGUGGCGAACGGGUGAGUAACACGUGAGUAACCUGCCCUUGACUUUGGGAUAACUUCAGGAAACUGGGGCUAAUACCGGAUAGGAGCUCCUGCUGCAUGGUGGGGGUUGGAAAGUUUCGGCGGUUGGGGAUGGACUCGCGGCUUAUCAGCUUGUUGGUGGGGUAGUGGCUUACCAAGGCUUUGACGGGUAGCCGGCCUGUGAGGGUGACCGGCCACAUUGGGACUGAGAGACGGCCCAGACUCCAACGGGAGGCAGCAGUGGGGAAUAUUGCACAAUGGGCGGAAGCCUGAUGCAGCAACGCCGCGGGCGGGAUGACGGCCUUCGGGUUGUAAACCGCUUUCGCCUGUGACGAAGCGUGAGUGACGGUAAUGGGUAAAGAAGCACCGGCUAACUACGUG
rnacentral:rRNA from 1 species